rnacentral:rRNA from 1 species
AAAAACGACUCUCGGCAACGGAUAUCUCGGCUCUCGCAUCGAUGAAGAACGUAGCGAAAUGCGAUACUUGGUGUGAAUUGCAGAAUCCCGUGAACCAUCGAGUCUUUGAACGCAAGUUGCGCCCGAAGCCAUCCGGCCGAGGGCACGUCUGCCUGGGCGUCAAUCA